CGCGGGGGCAACCCUGGCGGCGAGCGGCGAACGGGUGAGUAAUGCAUCGGAACGUGUCCUCUUGUGGGGGAUAACCAGUCGAAAGACUGGCUAAUACCGCAUGAGCUCGAGAGAGGAAAGCAGGGGAUCCGCAAGGACCUUGCGCGAGAGGAGCGGCCGAUGCCCGAUUAGCUAGUUGGUGGGGUAACGGCCUACCAAGGCGACGAUCGGUAGCUGGUCUGAGAGGACGACCAGCCACACUGGGACUGAGACACGGCCCAGACUCCUACGGGAGGCAGCAGUGGGGAAUUUUGGACAAUGGGGGCAACCCUGAUCCAGCCAUGCCGCGUGUGUGAAGAAGGCCUUCGGG
rnacentral:rRNA from 1 species